rnacentral:lncRNA from 1 species
AAGCACAAGCAUGUUCUGGAUGGUUUUGGAGAGAAGAGCAACCUUCCCUACACAUGAUUGCUUAGAUGAGCCUCCAAACGCUGGCAUGUUCUGAAGAAGGAAGCGGAGAGGCGCGGGCGUUGCAGAGGGAGCCUCGAGCUGAGCUGGGCUGGGAGUCAUUAAAGGAGGCGGCUGUCCCCGGGGCCCCAGACGGCGUCUCAUCAAGAUGCCCUGGAACUCGCCCAGCUUUGCUUCAGAUGUUCCAAGCUCAUUUUGGCUCAACUGGAUGUGGUUUCCAGGAACUCAUCAGGAUAAGGAGACAUGUAUCUUUGCACUGGAUAAACUGA